rnacentral:lncRNA from 1 species
AAUAAGAGGUGGGAGGCAGCCUCACAAGUUAGCAAUGCAGGGAAUGUUACAAGGAGUUAGCUUCAGUAUGAAAAAAACAUUUGUUUAGAGGCAUGGGAUAGAAUCACUGAAAUGCUGAGACAACUGUUCCUUCUCCUCCCUUGAGCUAAGACCCUGAAAGCUGAACCAGUACCAUCUCCUUGGAGCACCUUCUGAGGGUCCCUCUAGCCUACAAAGUGUAGUCAAGUGGAAUUUGUGCGCUUUCCUGAUUCAGGCCCAAUCCAGUCUUCCUAUGCCAGCCACAGAGCAGUCCCAUACUCCCUUCUGCUCAAUCCUACCCUGCCUCUUCUGCCUGUGAGUAUCCUAUUCACUUGGCUUGGAUUACCUUUCUUGCUCAUCUGCAGUAGACUUUACCAAUGCUCCCUGCUAUCUGGAUCUCUUCCACGUUCAGAGCAGCUGUGUCUCAUAAGAUGUUAAUACUGCAGAUGUCCUGAGAAGUAUGUGUCUUCCAUGGUCAAAAGCGUACAGGUAGCAGACCAGCAAGUUAACUACAUAAUCACAUCUCUCAGUAGAACGUGACUACCAUUCCUGCAAGAACCUUAAACAAACACUUAUCACCAUCAAGAUGCCUAUUCUGGCAGAAGCCCAUUCCUCCAUCUGCAUGGAUGAUCAGAACAGAAAACAAUCCGGGAAUAUGUUGCUGUUUAGAAUUGUAAGUAUACUGAUUUGGUCAGUACAGCCCUGGCUUUAAUAGUUUGGAAAAAUCCUGAGGCUUAUCAAGGCCAAACAACUUGUCCAUAGAAAACCCCACAGGCAGUACGUGAGAGACCCUGUGCCCCUCUGACUCCACAGCCAGAGUCCUUUAUCCCUAGGCAGCGUUUCCUCUCCAAAACACCAAACAUUAACUCAAUGUGUAGGAAAGAUCUGAGGUGGCUUCUAUUCCAUUAAAAGGAAAUCAAUAUUGUUGAACUGAACUCAGAUACGAACAAAGAAUCGAGGACAGUUCAAGUGAAUAGAGAAUAACAAUGACCACUAGUUCUCAAAAUACAGAUACUUAAAAAGACAAAUAUAAGCAUGAAUCACAAGGCUCCAAAUUUUCCUGUCUGUUAACUAUUAGGAUUGUAUCUUGAUUUCUGAGGUGGGGGGAUUUUUAUCCUGAUUUUGGGGGUUGGGGAGAGAUGGGGUGGAGUUGAAGCGAUUGAAGGAGAUGGAGUAUAAACAUGCUACCAAAACAAACACAUUUAAUGAUGCCUUCUGUGGAUCAUGCAUUGUGCUGGAGGACACAAUCCUGAGUCUCGAAAGGCCUAGUACCAGGCCUUCAGAAGAAAUUCACAGCCUGGAUGUGAGGAGAGGCAUGUAGGGAAAUAAGAAUAAUGCAUUAUAAUACAUGAAACAACAGAAAACAAAACACAGUUUGUAAGAAAGUAGCAACUGCUUCCAAGACCUGGUGAGCUCCAUUUCUGUGGUACAUUCAUGAAUUAAAAUGACAUUGGUAAGGAGGAUAAAUCCACAGUAACAAGGAUAGGAUGGCCUUAAUCAUUGUUCUUAUUAUUUUGAUUAAGGGCAUUUUAAUCAAGACUGCUUUUAGGAACCAUGAGCACUAGGAUGAACAAUUUAAAAAUAUCAAACUGUCAAAAUGUAAAGGGCUUUCCAUUGCAGCAGGGAAAAUAAGGAGAGUAAACUUGAUACCAGGAAGGAAAAUACUGCAAGGAAGGAAAUGCUUUUGCCCCAGCAUUAGAAACAUCAGGUUUCUACAGUACUUGGUCACAAACCAGCUGUGAUUUAAAUCCCUUAGCUUCUCUGAGCUGAAGUUCCUUUUUUUUUUUUUUCCUAAACAUUAAGGGGACUGGAGUAUACAAUCCCCACAGCGCCUCUCCAGCUCCAAAAUUUGUAAUCCUAAUGAUGUUCCAAGGAAAAUCUCUUUCCCCUCUGAAGUGCCAUCUCUCUCUGCACAGCUCCCUUUAGCUUCAGGGCCUGAGUCAAAUCUCCUCUCUAUAGGCUAAAUUCAUACACAUGACUGGGUUCACAACACCAACUAUAGUCACCCACAUAAUUUCUGUAGAAAGAUCUGCCAUGUGUCAGCAGCUCCCAUGAUGAGGAGGGUUGUCUUUCCCAGCAAGGUGGCCAAGGUAAAACACUUGCUUAUGGGCUCAGGUCUGGGUGUAGUCCUGGCUGCCUGGGUGAUCUUGGAUGUGUGAGUUCCUCCCCCAUAAGGUUGAGAGGGUCUGCUCUGACUCUCUGCAGGGUUGUUGUGAGGACAAACCGAAGUGAUUCAUAAAGCACUGUACAAAUUCAGAGUAUCACAGUGAUGACUGAACACUCUGGAUUCAGGAAAUCCUUCAGCUGGAAGUCUUGCUAGGACAGAGGUAUGUGCUGUAUUGCUCCCUGAGAGGAAACCUGAUGUAAAACAAACUCAGCCUCAAGGCUGAUGUGCCUCUGAAUCUCCCCUCAGAGCAGCUAACGGCUCUAGAACUAAUAAGGUCCCAGUGGACUUUUUCUUUAAAGAAGCUUUUAAUGUUACCAGGAACUGACAGCAACGCUGUCCACAUCAAUCCCACUCAGACCCCAGCCUCUGGAAGACAUGACCUUAGAAACUCUGCAGAACUUUUCUGUCACGUUCCACCUAUGUCAACAUUCAUGCCACCCACUGUCCCAUGUCGAGUUCUAAGAAGUUAAGAUCUGUACCUGUUAAAAUGGACUUCUAGAUUUCCAAAAAAGAGUUUCAUGGGACUGUGGGCAUUUCACAUAGUUAGGCUAUCCACGGGCCUGGCCUUUCCAGAAAUGGUCAACUUCAUGUAAUCUUCUUAUCCAUAAAGGCAAAGAUUAAUUAAAUGUGUAACUAAAUAUAAUUAAUUUUUAUAACUCUCUUACAUAUUUAUUUAAAUAAACCCAUAAAUCAGAAAUGACGUUUUUUUUCCUCAGACUGAUCUUCUUGAGACUUGAUUUUUUUACUUGGAAAAUAUAGUUACUGUAAAUACUAUAAACUCUGGUUAACCAGCAUGUUCAGAGAAUAUAAAGCUGUAGUAACCUUUAAAUGCAAAGGAAGAGGAGGAGGAGGAGGAGGAGGAGGAAGAAAAGGAAGAGGAGGAGGAAGAGUGAUAAUUAAUAUCAAAUACAUUAAUACAAGCAGGUUUUAUUAACUGUACUUUUAACAGAUGAUGAAACACAUUCAGAGAGACCCAACAGCAAGUAAAUUACAAUGCCAGAAUUAGAACCCAAAUUUGGCUCACUCAGAGGCGCUCAAUCUCUGCUUCAUUCAGGUCUCUGCUCAAACAUUACCUCCUUACAGAGGCCUUCCUUGACCACACGAUUGAAAAUGUCCCAGCUGUCAGCCUGGCUCCCUCCUUCCCUGCCAUCAACUUGCUGUCUUUUUCAGUCCCCUUACCUGGCUUUAGUUUCCUUCAUAGUACUUAGCUGUAUGUUUGUUUAAAAACAUGUCUCCUGUUUGAUAGAAUGCAAGUUAAGCAGGGAUUUUAAAUUAUUCACUGCUUUAUCUCUAAUGCCUAGAAUAGUGUCUGAGACAUAAUUGGUACUAAAUGAACAAACGAAUAAAAGACCCUAAAAUGCAUGCAUUUUUCAUUACGUCUCACUGAAAGGGAACAGUAAGAAAGCGGAUACAUAUAUACACUGCAUUAUGUCAUAAUUCUUUCAUGAUCUGGGUGGUAUGAUUAUAGAAUAAAGGUUCAAAUUGAUUGUGGAGAUCACUCAUUAAUAUUUCUACUAAGGGAAAAGAGUAGCUGUCUCCUAGAAACUGAAGGAACCCUUUACAACUGUAGCAGUGUGCUCUUUUUCACACUCACAAUCUCUCCUUCCUAUCAACUCUGACAUAAGAAUACACAGGACUCUUUUCACGACAAGUCCAAGAAUUUGGUUAGAUUAUUUUUGCCAUAUAAAGGACCAUUUAAUACCAAAACAAACCUCCCACAUCAAACAGUUAAUUCCACAACCACGAAACCUCUUCUGACUCACCAAGAAAAGCCACAUCAACACAGGCACAAGGGAUUCAUUUAUUACACCAAAAGAGUCUCUUCAGUACUUCUUAAGUAACUAUAAUUUUUGGUCAUUUAAAUAAUUUUGCAUUUAAUGUAGGCUCUACUUCCAGAUUUUUCUGAAACUGAUGGAAGACAUACCUAAUAAAAAUGCAUUUCAAGAAAAAGAAACAGAUUAUGAACAUCUCGUUUCAUCUGGGUUUAUGUGAGACUUAACAUUCACUAUUCUUACUAGACAUUCUCCCUGGGAAGGUAAAACUUUUUUAAAAAGUAAUGCCUCCAAGGUACAUCGUGAAGGCAGACAUCUGCUUUAUUCAGGCAAAGUAAGUGCCCAGUAAGUGUUGGCUCACCAGAUCAUGUAUGUCUUUCACAUAGCAAAUAUUCCGAGUUCUAAGUCACAAAUCGAAUACUCAACAAUUCCGCCUAGAAUAGAGGAGUAACCAUGUCUGUGGGAGGGGGAAGGGUUGGGAAGAGAUCUGUUCUUCUUCCUGAUACCCAUGAGCAGAAUACUGUCACACAGACCUAUUUUGUGUUUUUAUAAUUACCCAAAUUCUCUUCUUUUGUCAGAAUUCAUUCUCAGUAACAGCUUGAGCAAUGUAGCAAUCGUGCUCUGAAAUGACUUGUAAACCACAGACACAAAUAUUUGGGCCAAGAAUGUGGAAUCCAUUGCUGUCACAUUCCAUUAUUUCUGGUGGAGCAAUUCACUAACAUUUUGGAAUCUAGAUCAUAAAUUAUGCAGAGCCUCAGCAAAAGAGCUGAGGAAACAAACUGCUGUAAUAAAACUCCUGUUACUGGAGCCAUAAAAACAGAACAAAGGAAAGGCAAAGAAGAAAAAUAGUGGUUGGACUUUUCUGACAUGCCUUGUCCACCAUUGUUACUGGUUUCAAAAAUGAUAAUGUAACAAUCGGAAAACCAUCAGGCAAGCCAAAAAUGAUACAAUAGGCAUACUGUCAUUCAUAAACAUCACCACCACCAUGAGAGUCCCCAGAAUAAAAUUAGCUUUUUGAAGAAUGCCUGAAUGUUGACAUAAAUUAAAGUGCCUAAAUGUACAUACAACCAAGCCAUCUGUACAUUUUUCAUGACUCUCCAGGGGUGUGAAAUGUCCUUCAACAACAGCACUUGGAUAGUGGUCGCAUUUUCUGUUGGGACAUAUCAUAAAUGUCAGAGGGAGAAAGAGAUCUGUGUCACAUGUGAACUGAAGCAGGUCCCUUUCCCUCUCUGUGGAAACUGACUUAAUGGCAGAGCUGGGACUAAAACCCACAUCUCUUGACUCCCAAGAUAAGAAUGACUUUUAUUUUGCAGUAUGAUGCCUAGAGCAUGGUAGGGGCUCAAAAAUUACUUUGUGAACGGAAGAAUGACAGAAUGAAUGGAUAG